AGAGUUUGAUCCUGGCUCAGGAUGAACGCCGGCGGUGUGCCUAAUACAUGCAAGUCGAACGCGUUGGCCCAAUUGAUUGAUGGUGCUUGCACCUGAUUGAUUUUGGUCGCCAACGAGUGGCGGACGGGUGAGUAACACGUAGGUAACCUGCCCAGAAGCGGGGGACAACAUUUGGAAACAGAUGCUAAUACCGCAUAACAGCGUUGUUCGCAUGAACAACGCUUAAAAGAUGGCUUCUCGCUAUCACUUCUGGAUGGACCUGCGGUGCAUUAGCUUGUUGGUGGGGUAACGGCCUACCAAGGCGAUGAUGCAUAGCCGAGUUGAGAGACUGAUCGGCCACAAUGGGACUGAGACACGGCCCAUACUCCUACGGGAGGCAGCAGUAGGGAAUCUUCCACAAUGGGCGCAAGCCUGAUGGAGCAACACCGCGUGAGUGAAGAAGGGUUUCGGCUCGUAAAGCUCUGUUGUUAAAGAAGAACACGUAUGAGAGUAACUGUUCAUACGUUGACGGUAUUUAACCAGAAAGUCACGGCUAACUACGUGCCAGCAGCCGCGGUAAUACGUAGGUGGCAAGCGUUAUCCGGAUUUAUUGGGCGUAAAGCGAGCGCAGGCGGUUGCUUAGGUCUGAUGUGAAAGCCUUCGGCUUAACCGAAGAAGUGCAUCGGAAACCGGGCGACUUGAGUGCAGAAGAGGACAGUGGAACUCCAUGUGUAGCGGUGGAAUGCGUAGAUAUAUGGAAGAACACCAGUGGCGAAGGCGGCUGUCUGGUCUGCAACUGACGCUGAGGCUCGAAAGCAUGGGUAGCGAACAGGAUUAGAUACCCUGGUAGUCCAUGCCGUAAACGAUGAGUGCUAGGUGUUGGAGGGUUUCCGCCCUUCAGUGCCGGAGCUAACGCAUUAAGCACUCCGCCUGGGGAGUACGACCGCAAGGUUGAAACUCAAAGGAAUUGACGGGGGCCCGCAC
rnacentral:rRNA from 1 species